rnacentral:misc_RNA from 1 species
ACGUAAUAUUCAGUUGAGAAGAAGCAAUAAAAGGGUCAAAACCUAAACCACUUUCUCUGGCUAUUCACAUAGCCCUUAUUUCCUUUUAUUUUCCCCUGUAUUCUCUUCCUCGCCACCCAUGGCCGCCGCCGUAUCCACCGCCGUCACCAACAAGUCUCAUCUUUCAUCGGCACUCGACAAACCCUUUACCACGCCAUCCCAAAAGCUCUUAUCUUUAGCCGUUAAAACCCUCCCAAAACCCUACCACCAACAUCACAGAACUCUCAUUACUGCGGCCUCCAAGAACCCAUUAACCGACGUCGUUUCGUCCAAACCCAUCCCGGAUGGACGUUCUUUUGAUUCUUAUUUCCACGACGAUGACGAUAAACCCCGUGAAGAG